rnacentral:rRNA from 1 species
CCCGGGAGGAAGAACCAACAGGGAACCACCAAUCCGGCUUCACUUCAGUGAGCGGAACAGCUCAAAUUUGAAAUCUGGCUUCUGCCCGAGUUGUAAUUUGCUCAGGAUGUUUCUGGCGCGGUGCCUUCCGAGUUCCCUGGAACGGGACGCCGUAAAGGGUGAGAGCCCCGUAUGGUUGGAUACCAAGCCUGUGUGAAACUCCUUCAACGAGUCGAGUAGUUUGGGAAUGCUGCUCAAAAUGGGAGGUAAAUCUCUUCUAAAGCUAAAUAUUGGCCAGAGACCGAUAGCGCACAAGUAGAGUGAUCGAAAGAUGAAAAGCACCUUGAAAAGGGGGUUAAACAGUACGUGAAAUUGUUGAAAGGGAAGCGCUCAUGACCAGACUUGUGCUGGGCAGCUCAUCCGGGGUUCUCCCCGGUGCAUUCUGCCCAGUUCAGGCCAGCAUCGAUUUUUGCUGGGGGAUAAGAACGGAAGGAACGUGGCCCUCCUUCGGGAGGGUGUUAUAGCCUACCGUACGAUACCCUAGCGGAGAUCGAGGUUCGCGCAUCUGCAGGGAUGCUGGCGUAAUGGUCAUCACCGACCCGUCUUGAAACACGGACCAAGGAGUCGUCCAUUACAGCGAGCGUUUGGGUGUAAAACCCGCACGCGUAAUGAAAGUGAAAUUAGGUGAGAGUUUGUGCGGAAUCAUCGUCCGAUCGUGAUGUUGUUGGAUGGAUUGUAGUAAGAGUUGUAACGGACGGACCCGAAAGACAGUGAAGUAUGAUUGUAUAGGGUGAAGCCAGAGGAAACUAUUGUGGAGGCUGGCAGCGGUUGUUACGUGCAAAUAGAUCGUCAAAUAUGAGCAUGGGGGGGAAAGAAUAAUAGAACUGUCUAGUAGUUGGUUACCGCCGAAGUUUCCCUCAGGAUAGCAGUGUUGACCUUCAGUUUUAUGAGGUAAAGCGAAUGAUUAGGGACUCGGGGGCGCUUUUUAGCCUUCAUCCAUUCUCAAACUUUAAAUAUGUAAGAAGCCCUUGUUACUUAGUUGAACGUGGGCAUUCGAAUGUAUCAACAUUAGUGGGCCAUUUUUGGUAAGCAGAACUGGCGAUGCGGGAUGAACCGAACGCGGGGUUAAGGCGCCAGAGUGUACGCUCAUCAGACACCACAAAAGGCGUUAGUACAUCUUGACAGCAGGACGGUGGCCAUGGAAGUCGGAAUCCGCUAAGGACUGUGUAACAACUCACCCGCCGAAUGUACUAGCCCCGAAAAAGGAUGGCGCUCAAGCGUACCGCCCAUACCCCGCCCUCAGGGUAGAAACGAUGCCCUGAGGAGUAGGCGCGCCGUGGAGGUUAGUGAACGA